CAGCAGCUUACAGGAAGUAAGCACAAGGCAUGAUGGGAGAUGUAGUUUUACUUUCACUUCUCCUCCGUAAUUCGUGUGCUGAUAACGGGAGAACGACUGGGCCAAUUUUGAUGGGGGAGACAUCGUUGGAAAGGUCUUUCAAAGACCUAUUAAAUGAGGCACACGCCCAAAGGACACAAGAGGAAGAAAAGCAGCAAAUGUGAACUUGCCAGGAGGAACACAGACCAGAGGUCAAAAGAAAAAGCCGAAUUAAAAUCUCACGAGAGUUUGAUACUAUGUAUGUUGGUGAUGGGAAACGUGCACUAUGCUUGAGAAAGGAGGCGUAGCCUCUGAAACGUAGCAACUUGUUUCACCUGUCCAUCGUGUGAAGGGAGAUGGCCGGAGUAUCCAGCAGUGAAUACUGCACAUGAAGUCAUAAAGAAGUCGGCUAUUACUCCAAGACACAUCGUGCGGACUUUGCUCUAUCCACAGUGGGUGAUUAUAAUUUUUCUGCCUUCCUGUACCGUGUUAUAAUUUUGGAAAGAAUCCAUAUAUAAA